UAUAAUAGGUGCCUUGGGAUCUUGCAUAUGUUUCGUACCUGUAUCAGUAUUCAAGUUGUCUAAUACAAUACCCGAUACCUGUAUUUGUAUAAACUUAAAGUGCACCACAUAAGUAUUUCGUUUCAAUAAAUGUUGAGGCAUUAGGGGAAGUAAGAAUUUGAAGUUUCCCCCAAUGCCUCGUACACAAAAAGCAAAGCAUUUUUGUUUUUUAGUGUUUUAUGCACAAUAAACACCAAUGCCUAUGUGACACUGAUGGUGGUGUUUUUUCAAUAAACGUCCACAUAACCAAACAUAGCUAUAAUGUCCGGAGGAAAGUACCUCAACCGGAGAAGUAGCAGGUGAUGGAUACCACAAGUAUUAACUCAGCAGGUCCCCUAAGAACUAACGUCAAAGUGAAGAUGAUAUUAAGAUGAUGUGACCUAACUCAAGUCUGGUUUAGAAAACCAAGGUAUAUGAUUACACAUAGAGUUCCACUGAAAAUCAGCGUGAAGCAUCGUUGCCGGCGUUUUAACAUGUCGCAAAUCACCUUCUGUAGCCAACUCGAGUAAUUACAAGGAGUACACCUACCUCACCUCUUCCUUUGAUCUGUCAUAAUACUGCUUCAUGUCUAUACCACGGGGCAUCUUUCUUACUGAAUUAGUCACAUCUAUGAUCUCUGCUAUGAGUAGACUUAUUAUCUUUAUGAAGUUUGCUAGUUCAAUUUGAACAUAUCUUUUAUAGUUUGCUUGUCUAGUUACUCGUUUUAGUUGAUCGAGUAAUCAAUUUAUAUAGCCUUAGCUUUUUUUAGUUUCUUUUCACACAUAUAAAUUGAUUACUGGAUCAACUAAAACGAAUAGGUGAGAACCGGCAGCUCUCCCACAUAUGUAGACUCUUUCCCCGCUUAACUGACCAAUUCGAGGAUAUAGUGCAAGGCCUCUAUGAACUAUGGAACAUGGAUUCCAGUAGCCUUCUCCUAGCACCUUUCAACAGAGGCCACUUCCGUUAAAUUGAUUCAAUCAGAACAAACGACCCUUGGACCCUCAAUGACUAGUGGAUCCUUAAGCAACCUUGGGUCCCGGGUCUUCCUCGAUAUGCCUGGAAUAUCCAUGAAAUUGAAAUUUGGGUUCAAAUACAUGACCUCCCUUUUGAAACCCUUUCUGUCAAUGUAGGACGUCCUCUCUUCGAACGCAUUGGUCCUAUCCAUCUAGUCUUAGUCAUUCAUAACUAUAUUAGGGCCAAAGUCAUUAUCUCUAUUAAUCGUCCUCCUCAAACUGGUUCUUUUGUAAGUAUUCAUAACUGAAUUACUUACAGGUAUAGAUAUGAAGACUUCCUUAGAAUCUGUUAUGCGUGUGGAAGAAUUGGUCACCUCUACUGUCAAUGUUCUCAACCUCUCCCAAAUACCUCAGGACACCCAUUUGAGUAGUUUUUUAAAAGGCGAACCAUGAACCACCCAAAACCCUAGCUGAGAGCGAAGCAAGCAUUGCGACGGUUAUGGCGUCGUCCCAUUUUCGGUGAUUUCGUAAACCUCAACAAUCCUACCCCCCUCCCUUUGAAAACCUUCAAGAUGAAGCGAACGCUUCCCCACCCCAACAGUCAGCCCACAAUAAUGAAAAUCCACCACCCGCACCACCAAUUCCUAACAACCAAGCAUCUCCCUCGAGUUCUACCCCCCUCCUUUACGUGUUUCAGCAGAGACUUUUCAGCUGGCAGCAACUACCUAGGAUAUCUUCAAUCAUCUUUUUAAGGAUGAACCUAGUCCCUCUUCUUCCAGAGGUAAAAGACCCCACAUUGACCUCUUAUCAAAUCUAGAAUCUGAACAGCUAACCCCUGAUUUACCCACUUACGAUAGACCUGAACCAUAAGGUACAGUAGACCAAGAAGAGAAAAUUGUUUCUAUUAAUCAAGUAGUUCUAACUAACUUGAACACAGAAUCAUAGAAUCAAGAAGCGGAAGAGCAGGAGGUCUAGCAAUAUUAUGGAAAGCUAAUUUUUUUGUUACUGCUGAGCUCUCUACCCAAAGGCAUUAUCAAAUAUUUCGCAAUGGGAUGUAAAUGAAGUAUGUAUAUAUUUGGAUGCUCAACAAGUUAUAGAAGCUCUUAAUCAGAAGAGUACUCUUGAUUGGUCCUGCCAUUGGUUCUUGUCGAGGAUCAGUUCUUUAGCUUCUAAAUAUAGACACAUAUACUUUAACUAUGUAAAUAGGAAAUAUAACUACUCAGCCCACAAGGUAUCCCAUCUAGCUAAACACUAUUGUACUUCAUUUUUUUGUCUAACUAUCAGGAAGGGAUACCUAAAGUGGAAGACUUUGUAUCUUUUUGUUUUGUUUGAAUAUAAGGAAUCCUUCAA